rnacentral:lncRNA from 1 species
AUCUUGAAGAACUUGGAAAAAGCAGACAUGGAAUAUGAAUUAGCUGGCAGUGAAGUAAAUGUUAUGUGAAAAAUUUUAUUUCUACUACACAUGGAAAACUGAGAAGUUCAGAAAACAUCAUGGAGGAGCCUCCUGUUGACAGAAUCACAGUAUUUUAUAGCCAAGCUUACAUUUACAAGCAGGAGUAUCGCAGGGGUCACAGCCCUGCUUCAUGUCAUGUGGCAACUGAACAAAGUUG